UACGAAGGGAGCUAGCGUUGUUCGGAAUUACUGGGCGUAAAGGGCGCGUAGGCGGUUUGACAAGUCAGUGGUGAAAUCCCGGGGCUCAACCUCGGAAUUGCCUUUGAAACUGUCAAGCUAGAGUUUUGUAGGGGAUAGUGGAAUUUCUAGUGUAGGGGUGAAAUCCGUAGAUAUUAGAAGGAACACCAGUGGCGAAGGCGGCUAUCUGGACAAAUACUGACGCUGAGGCGCGAAAGUGUGGGGAGCAAACAGG
rnacentral:rRNA from 1 species